GACAGCUCGCCCAACCUCGUACAUCUAGCAACAACGUCCCUGCUAAAAGGUGCUGGAGGUAUUAUGAGGAACAACUGAAAAUAAGACAAAAAAGGUGAACCAUCUAACCAUGAGAAAAGCUCACAGCCUUCUGGAAUGAGACACACUCACAAAAUAGAUGAAAACCAUCCUGACUGGCAAUACUCAAAGCAAGCUGUUGGUGUGCUGCCUGUCAACGAGUCUCCCCUCUUGCUGUGGUGGCUGCAUUUGGAAGUUCAGAAUGGAGCAGCACAGGAAACAUAUCACACAAAAAAAACAGGUUAAAAAAAAUUACCAUGAAAGAGAUUAAGUAUGCUAUUGCCCAUUUGCUUGCUGUUUGCCUUUUGUGGAUAAAGUGACAAAAAAGCAUGUGAGAGUUGGUGGCAUAUAUGUGGUGGUGGCAGGAGAACAGCCUUGAGAUAUUUUCCUAAGUGUAUGGCAGAUGCAGCCAAAAUAUCGAUAGGAAUCACAGUGUGUGAUGAUCCACAACAAUCUUGCUGUUCCCCAGUGACAGAACUGAGUAAACGCUUCCUGACUUGAGUCGACAUUUAGGGUGGACUGGUCUUUACCCAUUAACCUAGAGAGCUCUUCCAGGAUAAGAAAUACGGCAAGGCACUCAGCA